AUUGAACGCUGGCGGCAGGCCUAACACAUGCAAGUCGAGCGAGCGGCGGACGGGUGAGUAAUGUCUGGGAAACUGCCUGAUGGAGGGGGAUAACUACUGGAAACGGUAGCUAAUACCGCAUACCAUCAGAUGUGCCCAGGGGGGGUUAGCUAGUAGGUGGGGUAACGGCUAACCUAGGCGAUGAUCCCUAGCUGGUCUGAGAGGAUGACCAGGCACGCGGGAACUGAGACACGGUCCAGACUACUAGGGGGGGAAGGAGUGGGGAAUAUUGCACAAUGGGCGAAAGCCUGAUGCAGCCAUGCCGGGUGUGUGAAGAAGGCCUUCGGGUUGAAAAGCACUUUCAGCGGGGAGGCGUUACCCGCAGAAGAAGCACCGGCUAACUCCGUGCCAGCGGCCGCGGUAAUA
rnacentral:rRNA from 1 species